AUCUCUACACACUAGCCGUGAC
rnacentral:siRNA from 1 species